rnacentral:sRNA from 1 species
GCCAGGCAUGGUGGUGCACACCUGUAAUCCCAGCUACCUGGGAGGCUGAGGCAGGAGAAUCACAAGUUCAAGGCCAGCCUCAGCAGUUUAGCAAGGCAACUAAGUGAGACCCUGUUUUGA